ensembl:lncRNA
CUCCUCAACCUGGAAGUGAUUAACAUAAAGACAUGCACAUGCAUCAUUUCCCUUGCUCCUCACAGCAACCUCCAAAGUAGGCAGGAAGUACCUGGAAACAAGAAGAGGAGCCUUGCAGGAACGUGUGCGGGUUAACGAGCUAGCCUGCUGGUCCCAGGAAGAAGAUAAGAGACUCACGGAGCAGGACUGCCUGACCAGGUCCAGCCCAGAUCAGCUGACUCUCAGCCAGUUCACAGAAGCAUGAACUAAAUAAGUGCUCCUGGAGCCAACGAUGAGUGGUGUCCACCUUACUCCAUCCUCAUCCACCUUGUCUCCCAGGCCCAUCACUGGCACUCCAUUGGCCCAACCCAUCUACCAAGAACAAGCCACCUUGGCCGUAACCUUGAAGGCACAAAGCCAGCAAGGACCCUCUCACAGCAGCAGACCCUGCGUGUUGAUGAGCAGCCAAGGGGCAGGAGGGGCAGGUGGCCCACACCCUCCCCUCCUCCUCCCGGGGGAGACAGCAAGAAGGGAUAGCAACGAACAAAAGAAAUCCUUCCCCUUCAUCUCCUGAUCCCUGCCCUCUCUCAGAACUGCUCACUGGCAUCUCGCAAAGAUCACUGAACCAACAGUUUCCAGGACUACUGCUCCCAUGUGUAGCUGCAGGCUGAGCUCGGAAGCCAGACCCACCAUCCUCCAUGAGGUUGCCAGGCUGCAUUCCCAGCCCAGGGAGUCCAGACCCUGCACCCAGCCAGGGAUGCAGGGCGGGGGUGCUCCUUUCCCAACCUGGGAUCAGGGAGGCUUAAGGAUCCACUGGGG